rnacentral:rRNA from 1 species
CAUCCUCCAAGGCUAAAUACUCCUGACUGACCGAUAGUGAACCAGUACCGUGAGGGAAAGGCGAAAAGAACCCCGGCGAGGGGAGUGAAAAAGAACCUGAAACCGUGUACGUACAAGCAGUGGGAGCCCCACCACUAAGCCAGUGGUGAACUCCACAUACGCAUCCUUUGCUGAGGAUACGGUUAACGGAGCGAAAGCGACGUUCAACCUCAAAAGAAGCAGAGGGGGCUUAGUGGUGGGGUGACUGCGUACCUUUUGUAUAAUGGGUCAGCGACUUAUAUUCUGUAGCAAGGUUAACCGUAUAGGGGAGCCGCAGGGAAACCGAGUCUUAACCGGGCGUUAAGUUGCAGGGUAUAGACCCGAAACCCGGUGAUCUAGCCAUGGGCAGGUUGAAGGUUGGGUAACACUAACUGGAGGACCGAACCGACUAAUGUUGAAAAA